UCUUUCUUUUUCGAUUUCUUUCAAAAAUUCAUGAAUUGCAUUUUUUUGAAUUGAAGAAAUCGAAGGCUGUAUGUAGUUUAGGGUUACGGUUGGGGUUUAGAGAGAGGACGAACACUAGAAGGAAUCAGGGAUGGAGCAAAAUGGUGGCUGCCAAGGGCAUAUGUGCAUAGUGCACCCUUUGCUCCUUCCAGAUGCAAAUAGCAGGAGAAGAGCUUUGAAAGCAGAUAGCCAUAGAAAGAUAUUUCAAGAAUCAGAUCAUGUGUUGGCUGACUGGCUCUUCAGGAUUUAAGAAAAUUAAGGUGGAUAAAACACAUCAUCUUAUGUAUAGUCUAUGUAAUCCACGACCACGUGGUUUGGUUGAGGAAAACAAAAUUACCUUGAUAACUAAUAUGUGUUGAAUAAGUCAGCUAUUCGGGCUUGAAAGGAUUAACCAAGUCGAGGAAAGAAAAAAUGGAGGAAAUGAAGGUUUAUUGGGGAAGAUCGCAAGAAGCUUCAAUAUGAGAUGCGAAGUGGGAAAAGUUGAACCUAAGGAAGACUUUGUAAGGAUAAACAUGAGCUUCUUGCACACUGAACCUCACAAAAUCAAAGGUGAUGAUGAGCACAAUAUGAAAUCAUGGGUCAAAUCGACUUUUGGGGCAGACAAAGCAUAGCGUUACGAAUUAGGAUCAUUUCCGGUUCAUUUGAACUGGAUAAUAUCCAGCUAGUUAUAUUGAAAGAAUAUUUUUAUCUCCUCAAAAAGUGAAAGACAAAAAUUCCCCUCUAAUAUAACUAACUGAAUAUUAUCCAGUUCCAAUGAACUGGAGAUGAUCGUGUUCCGUAGCAUUACGUAAAGCAAAAGAAAUGCUAUUUAAUAGACUGUUAGACAUCAGCCAUAAAUUUUUCAUUUUUACAAGCUAUUGCUGAUCUAAAGAC